CAACAAGAGCGAAACUGGGUCUCAAAAAAAAAAAAAAAAAGACUACAAAUGAUAAGCAACAUAGAAUAGAUAUUUAAGGAAAGGCUUUAAAAAGAAAAAUAAGACCAAAAUAAACUAAGAAAAAGAUUAUUAAAGAACAAGGAGAUGCCAGGGAGAAGACAAAGAGUAUCAAAAUCACUUCAUAAAGACACUUGUGAAUAUAUUACAUGUAUAAAACAAAACAAUAUGAAUAAGAAAUAAUCAGAGAAGAAAAAGUUCUUAGAACUCAUGCUCCAUCUUGGGAGUUGGUCUCCAAUGAGCCAUACCUCCUGUCAUCAUGUCCUCAGACAGGCCCAUCCCAUAGUCAAUCUGGGUUGGCCCCAACACUCACUUUAACCUAUAGCAUGUGGUAGAAAUGACACUGGACCUGUUCCAGGUCUAAGCCUUAAGAACUCCUGGCAGCUCCAUUUCUGUGCUUCUGGAAGCCAAAAAUAAGAAUUGGCUACCUUCUUGGAGAAAGGAAAGCCACAUGAAGAGAUCCGAGAGGAUGAGAUGCUAUGCAGAGAGAAAGGCCACAUCAAGAAUUACCAAGGCAGCAGACCUGUGGGUAAAGAAGCCGUCUCAGACAUUCCACUGCAGCUGAGCAUCCAGAUGACCAGUCCCUGACACUGUUUAACCACACAGUGAGAGCUGCCAAAUGAGACCAGCAGAAAAACUGUCCAGCUAGCCCCAGGUAAUCCAUACAGUCGUGACAGAUAGACAGAUGUGUAGUUUUAGGCCAUUAAGUUUUGGGAUAAUUGGUUAAGCAACAAUAAAUAACCGAAACAAAACUUAAAGUUAUGACAGUCCAAAUAAAAUUUCCUGAAAGUCGAAAGAUAAGAAAAUAUUCCAGAACUGAAAAUUUAAAAAACAUUUAGAAAUAACGUGAGAUAUAAGACUCAAGACAAGAGGUCUAAAAUCCAAUUAACAGACACUUCCAAAUGAACAAAUAAAAUGGAAAAGAGAAAGUUAACAACAAAAAUAUGACAAGAUUCAAGACUCCAACUUUGAAAGAGCCUAUCCAUAGGCCUGUUCAUUUGGUGUACCCAGCAUAAUGAAUGAAAAAAGACCCACACUAAGUACACUGUUGUGCUAUUUCAGCUCACCAAGGAAAAGACAAACUCCUAAAAGCUUCCAGGGAGAAAGUCAUGCAUAAACAAGUGAAACUCAGGAUGGCAUGAGGCUUCGCCACCACGACUGGUUAGAAGACAACAGCACAGACUUUGAAAUUCUAAGAUCAUCUUUGUAACAAGAAGAAAACCAACCAAAUGAAAAUGAAAUGAAUUCUCUCAAAAAGAAUUAAGUCAAGACAGGAAGAAGGCUCGCAAAGUAAUAUAAAAUAUAUCUUAUGGUUUAUGUAAAAUUCUUAAUAAAAUACCUUCUUUGCUCCUAGCUGCACUCUGGCUUUGCCUUUGAGUCAGGUGGCAUUUCUUUGCACGAUGACUGGUUUUAUUGAGUAGGCACUGCUUCAGCCCUACAGGAAGAACAAAACCUCUCUGGAACACAGCAGCAUUCCUGACUCCCACUUGAGGAGGCCUAACAAAACGGCAUAUGCCUCAACAGCAGCAGAUCAGUGUUAAAAAGUCUGGAGUCAAGGGGAAAAAGUAAAAUUGGACCAUUUCCAAAAUCUCACAAAAAGCAACAAACUGACGUUCUAAGUGCCCAACAUGAGCAAAUUAGAACCUUAAAUAAAGGUCACUCUUAAUGCCUAUCCCAGCAUAGAUGCAGCACCAAGUACAGUGUCAUUUUACUGGUUUACCUUUUUCAUUCUUGAAAGUAGGAGCUAUGAAAAAAAAACACUAAAAUUUCCCUAAGAGAACCUUCUACUUUCUGUCUAACUUACAUAAUCAAAACACUCUAUUGAGGGUGAAAAUUGAAUAUUAUAAGAAAAUAAUCACGUGUUUUGCGAGAAGUUGCAAAUAUAAUGCUCCUCCACCCAAUACCUACCUUAAAAAGAAAAAAGGAAACAUACAAAAUUAUCUCGAGAAUUAUUCCUGCUUAAACAAUGUCUACGUGCCAUUACUAAGAAAGUAUGCACACAGUAAAGAUGAGAAGAGAACAUGCAAGCGUGAACAUACUUGUUAGGGAUAUAGGACUAUGGGUAAUUUAAACAUUUUAAUGGUAUUACUCUCAUGUAAUUGCUCUGAAAUUCUAGUCAGUUGUUUGAAAUGGCUCUUAGAACAGAAUACUUUGACAUUUUUAUGAUGUCAAAAACUAAGAACUUAGCCCUAAAUAUUCCAAAGAAUAGGUGCAGAAGAACCCGUUUCCUUAAACGGCAUUUGAGUAUUCUUCACAACUCAAACUUUCUCUCCCAUCCUGUGAUGGCCAAGAGUUUUUCCUCUGACGACGGCACUGACCUUACCCUAUCCAAAAUAUGAACAUCUGCAUGGUUUCCUGGUUCAAAUUGUUUUUAUCCAUUCUGUCGUGAGAAUCAAAUGGUUCAGACCAUGCAGCACCUCUCUGGGACUUCUCAAGUCCUUUCUAGAUCUGAACACUAUUCUCUGAACCAAAGACAACUUCUGGGGGUGUACCAAAUCUCCCAUUAGAAAAUUAUUAAGAUCAAGAUGUUUUAACCUUUUAACUCUUUCUCAAACAAAAUAAAUUCGUUUCUCCUUUACUGUUAUUUUAAAUUUCAAAAUACACAGAUAGUAUGUCUAAAAUAAAAUCAAGAGAAUGACAGUUUUAGAACACAAACUGUGGUAAUUUUGAAAACACAAAAGCUAAGACCACUAAUUAGGUCUAUGUGGACACCAAGUCCACCACAACCUGUUCUGUCCUCCGGGGCUCUGCCCACGCCUUUCCCUUGCCUGAGAUUCCUUCUGCUUCCUACCCUUCCAAAUGCUGUAUUUCCCCCUGGAAGACUUGCCAAGACCACUCUAACCUGCACAUCUCCCAUUCCAGCUAACCAAAGGCAUCCUUGGGUUGACUAAACCAAGUUAUUUUGCAGACAAGGCAUCUAAACACUUCCACUGUAGACUAUUCACCUUAAUAAUUGUUAUUGUGACAUUAUUCAAUAAUAAAAUGAGGGAAAGAAGUCCUCUUCAAUCCCUUAUCCUGGAGAACCCAAGCAAGUGUCUUUCCCACUUGCUUUGCCCAAACCCUGGGACCUUUCUAAGUAAAAGUUUAAUGGAAGGGAAAGAAAAUCUAAAAGAAAAACUCUCCAAGAAAUUAAACUCGGGCAAAGAUUCAUGGGAUUAAAAAUUUUUAUUCUUUGUGUAUUUGAUUUCCGAAACAUAGAAAUCUCUCUCCCACUCCUUAAACCUGCCACUGGGCUAAGAGAGUAUUGUACAGAAUAUGCACUCACUGACUUAACAGAAUUAGAACAUCCAGGCACUCACUGAGAUUUUGCUUCCACAACCGCUCAAAGUCUAGUCAUUAGUUCAUGAGUUAACACCACACUUGACCUUCAAGUUUUGGAAAUGCUGACGGUAGACAGGGACUUGUUUUGGGAAAGGAAGUACACAGUAGACAUUGUUACCCAUGACCCAACCACCACCACCUUUCCUUUAAAGAACCCCACUCUUCCUUUAAGGUUGCAGAGUCUCAGAAAGUGGGAAGAAAGGAAGUUUUUGCAUUUUCAGGUCAAAACGAAGUACAUUUGUGCAACCACAUAAU
rnacentral:lncRNA from 1 species